GUACCUGUAGCUCAGUUGGAUAGAGCAACAGCCUUCUAAGCUGUGGGCCAGGGGUUCAAAUCCCUUCAGGUACGCCA
rnacentral:tRNA from 3 species